GUCUUUAUCUGAUUUCUUUCUCGCGGCCAACGCUUUUUCUUCUGCAACAAAAAUUCAGAGGUUUGCACAAAAAAUCAUUCCCAAUGCUGCUCAUUUCAUCAAUGAUAUUAAAUUUUUGUCAAUACCUGGAAGCGGUUUGGACAGUUCAUCUUCGUGAUCAUCGAUAAUUAUCUGGAUCUCACGUGCCAACACCUGAUCCUGCAGUUUAGUGCCUUCAUCCACAGCGUCCUCCGGGGCAUCCGGACCCAGCCUGGAUUUCAUCACGGUCUGGUAAGCCAGAAUCAGUGGAUGUUGUUUAUUUCCAAUCUUCACUUGUAAAUCCCGGGCGGCCAGCCGCACCUUAUCCAGCAGACGAAUGGCACGAAGGGCGGACUCAGCGUCGAAGAAAUCACAGAAUCCAAAAGCUGUGCCGAUACAGCAAUGUUGUUUUGACAAUGUUAUUUGUAUAAAUCCACAAGCGUUAACCUUCGAUUCUUGCGCGGCCGGAAAACCGUACUUGCCAGAACCCCGUUCCCGUUUACCUUCUUUAGCAAACGUUGGCGGGCCGGCUGGCGGAGGCACGGCACGGAAAUUGGGCACUUGUCCCGGCAUGGGAGGAGCGCCAAACGGCAUCUGCGGCGGCAUGGGCAUCGGUCCGCCGGGUGGACGCGGGGGCAUGCCGAAGCCGGGAACGCGCGGGGGUGGAUAAGGAACGCCAUUUACGGGAGUUUCUAAAUGGAAACCUACCCCAGUGGGAAAAUACGGCUGUGGAGUGGGAUUGACAGAGAAUGGAGCAAUAUUCUGCAGCAGAGGAUUCUGUGGUCCCGUCUGCCCUGGUCCUUGUGGCGGUGGACCACCUGCAUACACAUUUCUGGUCAUCCUAGCAGAAAACUAAGCAGAUAUUAUCCCAGUCACCUGGGCCACGUGGAUUCAUGUAGGGAGCAGGAGCAAACGGCAUGCGUCCGCCAGGAACCUGGCCUUGUGCUGGCAGCAUAUUUGGACGGCCAUUAAACAUUGGUGGGGUUCCUGGGCCACUAAAUCCCCCAUACUGUGGAUAGGACAUGUUCACCGUCAACGACGAACACUAAAGGUUUUGCCAAGAGAAAUGAUCAGUCGUAUAUCCUGCUGUAAUCUUACGUUCACGAAAUCCGACAAAACUGGCCAGUAUCUCAGUAUCACCAAAGAUUAAACCCCUCAACCGUAAGGGUGAAACACGAAUAUAAGAAGUCAAAGUAACGACAUCAGAAGGAAGACCAUUAAGGAGAAUGGAUGCGCAAAAGCUACGGUAGUCAAAAUGAAUAUUAACACCACAGAAUAUAAGGGACACAAAUGCACUUUAGCCCACUAAAAAAAGUGGCAGAAAUCAGAAAUGAUAAAUCUGUCCGAAAACGGUGGAAAUCACGGCUCAGUCUUUUGAAGCUUUGGCGUUUUGGGCCAGUAUGGAUGCUUGCGUGGUGCGCAAUGCGCAUUUUUGAGUCUUAACAUUACGCCAACCGCCCUAUACUGCGGUGUCCACUGAAUCGCAGUAUUGUCCUUGGUAUUGUACUUAUUAAUUUGUAUUUGGUGUAAACUUACU